rnacentral:rRNA from 1 species
CAGUAGCCGCAGGAAAACGUAGGGGGCCAGCGUUGUCCGAAGUUACUGGGCGUAAAGAGCGCGUAGGCGGGUCUUUAAGUGAGGGGUGAAAGGUUCGGGCUCAACCCGGACACUGCCUUUCAUACUGGGGACCUUGAGUGUGGGAGAGGCGAGUGGAAUUCUUGGUGUAGCGGUGAAAUGCGUAGAUAUCAAGAGGAACACCCAUGGCGAAGGCAGCUCGCUGGCCUAUAACUGACGCUGAGGCGCGAAAGCUGGGGGAGCAAACAGGAUUAGAUACCCCCGUAGUCCCUGUCUCUUAUAC